AAGUUAAGAAACGCAAUGUCUGAAAGGCUCUGCUUUGUCCGCGCUGCAGCACGCACAGCGAUUUCCCAGAUUUCGCCAAGCCGCGCGCGCGCUGCAUAUUUUAGCGCGUGUAGGGAAUGGACUGAAGGUUCAAGCGCACUGUUCUUGGCGAUUUCGCGGACGACACGCGUUUCUUCUUCAGGCGAAAGAUUAACAC
rnacentral:misc_RNA from 1 species